AGUGAGUCAAAUAUAUUAGGAUUUAUUUUUUUAGUGUGUGUAUUAAGAAAGAUUUGUAUAGACGAAACCACAUAAGUUGAAAACAAAUCACAAAAAACCACAGCAAACGCUUUCCAAUAUCACAAGCAGCAACAACUCUCUCUCUCUCUCUUUACAGAUUGCAACUACGAUGUUGCCGAGAUGGAGCAGAGCUGUGACUUAUCUCUCUAGGGUUUCAUCACACAAGAACAACAUGGUAACUAGAAGAGAUUUUCAUGGUUUCUCAUGCCAAAGCUAUUCGAAAGUCGCCGCUGCCACCGCGACCGAGGUGCCGAUCGCAGUCGACUCUGCUGAGAAAGGUUAUGUGAGUACACCUGAGGUAUAAAUUCAGAACUAGCAAUUUGGAUUUUGUGAGAAUGUUAUUCAUUCUCUGUUGAAUGAACUUGCUGCUUAUAAAAAAAAUUCAUUAGAAUUUGAUGAUACUGAGUCGUUAAUUUUAGAACUUCAAUGCCCUAUCAAACAUGCCCUAUCUGUAUUGUGGUUAAUAGCUUUUUCUGUUGGUUGUUCUGUCCUAUAUGAACAACU